ACAAAUGCGCGCGUUUCAAAUUAUUAGGCGCCAGUUUAGCAGACAGCUGACUGGUCACUGUGAAAGUUCUUAGUCAUUGCUCCGCCAGCCGUAGAGUAGUGCGAAUAUUGGCAAAUUUAAAAGCUAUGGAUUUUAAUGAAGAACAUUGCUUGGCUCGAAUUCGACAAAAACUACAAGAAAAUGGAGUUAAACUAUGGCUGGCACCGUACUUUGCAGAUCAGGCUAUAAAUAAAGAAAAACUUGAGGAGCUGGCCAUGCAUCUCUCUGACAUGCUUGCCAUACCAUGCACUACUGUCUUAAAUAUGUUGAGCACACUUCAGUUUCAUGCGCUUGAGAAGCUCGCUUCCAGGGCAUGCUUCCAAGAGACUGGGUUGGCAACUUUACGAGUCAAAGUUGUUGGAAGCAGUGGCCUUCAGAAGAACAUCACCAUGUAUUUGAAUGAAUCUGGUGAAUCAUUUAAAAAUAAGAUCAUAGCUGAAAUGAACAUUACAGCUUCAACAAGGCUGAAAAUGAUUUGCCAUGGCUUAGUUCUGGAUGAUUCAAUAAGUCUGCGAGAUCAAAGAGUUACCAACAAUUCUCAGAUUCUGGCAAUUAUCCUUCCGUCUGAUCCAGAUUGCCAAAAGAUGGAAGAGAAGAUGAUUCAAGAGGUAGAAUUGAUUAAGGCUGAUGCAGAUUUGUUGGCUAGCCAGCAAGAUGAAAACUACCUUAGAAUUGCUGAUCAGUCAGGAAACAUCAUUGACCUCCCAUUCGAGGAAAAAAAAUCCUUAGCUGUGGCAAUGGCUCUGCAUGAAAAGGGUCGUUCCGCCCUGAAACGUAAUCAGGUCUCGCUUGCCUUAACGUUAUUUCACGAGGCUGAUGCUAAAUUCAAUGCCUGUAGGUCAGAUUUACUGAAAGCGGUAGACAAUGCCGCCCUAUUAAAUCUGGACAUUGCUUGGUGUUAUCUGCUGCUUGGUAAUGCAGCAGAUAUGUCCGACGCAGUUGUCCGAUUAGACCAAUGCGAGCAGUCUCUCUAUAAAACUUAUGGAGCGCAAAUGGAACGUCUCUUAACCCUUAAAGGAACAACAGGCAAUGAAGCCGUGCUAUUUUUACGACUUCACCUACUCCAGGGAGUCGUGGCUUUUCAUCAAGGAAAGACACUAGAAUCAAUUAAGCUACUGAAUCAAGCGAACGAAGAGUUACAGAAACUCACCAUCAACGACGACGAUUUAACCCACUUAAUCAACUUAGGCUAUUCAUUGUCUGAUGCCCGACUUGGUUUGCGGGCAUGUAGAGGCGAUUUAAAUGCUGCUUGCAUAUAUUUACAACGCCGCGAAAUGGAAAGAGAAGAGCGCAAAAAGAAAGAAGAAGAGGAAGAAGAGCGAAAUCGUGAAAGGAAGAAACUGGGAAAAACGGCCAAUAGUCAAUGGGUUAAUCUCGGUUAUCUCAACACCAUAGUCGAAAUGGGAUUCGACCGGUCACGGGCUGCUGAAGGCCUGAAACAAACAAACAACGAUAUUAGUAGGACAUUAGAGUUCUUGCAAUCCGAGAGUGAAUCUUAUAGCUCUCAAGCUUCUACGGGACAAUAUAGCGAAGAAUCCCUUGCCCAGGUGGUCUCGAUGGGUUUUAGUGUGGAACGUGCCAAGGAAAUGCUGGAAAAGCACAAUGGGGAUGUUGAACUAGCAGUGGAAGACUUGGCAUCAAACCUCGGCCGACCUGACGACCAAUCGGCAACAAGUUCGUCAAGCGAAGAAGCUUCUAGAAAGCAAAAAGAAGCUACGAAAAGAGAAAAGGAAGCGUACAAAAGACUUGCCAAAGAUAUUCCUCGAUCGGAAGAAGAUCAUUUGGAUUCUGGCCUUGAAUUAGAAGCAGAGUAUCUGCAUAAAUAAUAAAUGCUUUUGUGGUUACACAUAGAUGUCGUGAACACGCGAACACAAUUUCUAGAAACAUCGCCCUUGGCAGUGUGCGAAUGUUUCCUACUUGAACGAUUUCACAACAUCCUCCUCGAAAGUCAAAUGAGCUUAUCCGGUUUUAAUUUUAAUUUCAGACACGUUUCCCUAUUAUUUGUUGUUCCAUUUAUUUUAGCAUCGGAUAUCAUCUGUUGCGAAAUGCUGGAUUUUUUUAUUAGCCCUAUCCGUGCUGGUACGAUCAGACGUGACACAUCUAAGAAGAAACAACAGCUGGCUUAUGUUUUUUUCACUUUAAUUGCCGAUUCUUGCGAACCCCUUUUUACAUUUGUAGCCCACUACGUCAGACAGCGGAAAGGGGGGGGGGAGGUUAUCGAAUGUCGCUGGUCUACGGGAUCACUUGACUUAGCAACUGAAGUCUUUCCAACUGCGCAGUUAUUAAGUUCCAGAAGAAUCACGUUAAAGUGAUAAAUGCACUUUAAAAACGUUUAAGCAACUUCUAAUGACGUGACAUCGUUUUCCCUCGCAAUCUCGUGUCACGCACCGAUGGAACACGAGUAGUUGUUAUUUGCUGAUUGGCGUCCCCAUUUCCGUGCAUGCAACGCUUGGCUGAAGAGAUUAAAACACGAUAGAACAUUAGCCUUUGACACGGCAGACGUUCAGCCGACACUUCUCGCGUGUGCCACAUUGGCAUAUGCCAGGGUUGCCAAAAGAGGAGUAGCCGCCCGUCACCGACUUAAAACUAUUACCCAAUCCAGGAAGUCACGGCCGUUUUUUUUUUCGGGAAGGAGUGAUGGGCAUUGCAAACAUGACCGUUCCUUUUUCUUUCUUAAUCGGCGUUAAUAGCUGCUGUAAAAAAGCCCCAGCAGGAAAACAGACACAAUCACGUGCAGAAAUAUGAGUCAUCCCUUUAAGAAAAACAAAAAAACUUCUGCAUUUCGAUGGAGACCAUGAAAGAAAAAAAAAAAAUAAAUAAAGGUUGGCGAAUUAUUCAUGAAGAAGGAAUGAAAACGACCUGAUAGUUCGGGAUUUCCCUCCACUGCGAUUGGGAAAGAAUGAAGCCCGUGGUGAUUUGCUGACGUCUGUCGAAUUAUCUCACUCGUCCUCUUUGUGCCCUUGAACGUUAACGUGGGUCGUAUAACCGUGACGACAACUCCUUUCUUUCGCCUCUCGCGAGCUGCCUGGCAUUAUUAAAAGGAAAAAGAAGAAAAGAAAAAGCCGCAAAGAAUGGAAUCGGAUGCCACCGAAAAGAUGAGGAGGAUUGACACAUGUGUUCGUGAGCAUUGAUCCCUCCCAAUGGAGCCCCGCGGGAUGAAGAAAAAAGAAACAGUUGACGAGGAGGAGGAGGAAGGUGGGGUUUUUUUUUGUGCGGAGAGGGGGGCU